rnacentral:misc_RNA from 1 species
GUGAAUCAUCGAAUCUUUGAACGCACAUUGCGCCCGCCAGCAUUCUGGCGGGCAUGCCUGUUCGAGCGUCAUAUCAACCCUCGAGCCCCGCCGGGCUUGGCGUUGGGGAUCGGCCCGCCGCGCGCGGCGCCGUCCCCCAAAGGCAGUGGCGGUCUCGCCGCAGCCUCCCCCUGCGCAGUAGCACGAAAACCUCGCACCGGGAGCGCGGCGCGGCCACGCCGUAAAACGACCCCCCCAUUCGCUGAGUUGACCUCGGAUCAGGUAGGAAUACCCGCUGAACUUAAGCAUAUCAAUAAGCGGAGGA